GGGGAAUAUUGCACAAUGGGCGCAAGCCUGAUGCAGCCAUGCCGCGUGUGUGAAGAAGGCCUUCGGGUUGUAAAGCACUUUCAGCGAGGAGGAAGGGUAGUGUGUUAAUAGCACAUUGCAUUGACGUUACUCGCAGAAGAAGCACCGGCUAACUCCGUGCCAGCAGCCGCGGUAAUACGGAGGGUGCAAGCGUUAAUCGGAAUUACUGGGCGUAAAGCGCACGCAGGCGGUUUGUUAAGUCAGAUGUGAAAUCCCCGCGCUUAACGUGGGAACUGCAUUUGAAACUGGCAAGCUAGAGUCUUGUAGAGGGGGGUAGAAUUCCAGGUGUAGCGGUGAAAUGCGUAGAGAUCUGGAGGAAUACCGGUGGCGAAGGCGGCCCCCUGGACAAAGACUGACGCUCAGGUGCGAA
rnacentral:rRNA from 1 species